rnacentral:misc_RNA from 1 species
AAAGGAACUCCCCAAAUGCAUCACAUGACAUACUUACCAAAUCAGCCUGAACAAAAUAGGUGCAUCAUCUAUAAGCAUCACAAGGACGCUAACAUACAACUCAUUUGUCUAAAUUGGAGAAGUCCAACAUUUAUAAGCACAACAAGUCUUACUACACAAACUCAGUGCCUGUACGAAAGCAAAACCCUCGGUUGUAUGAAUCACAGGGAAGUCUGCACAAAAUUAGUGAGUGAACCAAAUAGUGCUAGGAUGUAUAAGCAUUACAGGUGUUACUGCACAAACUUAAUGCCUGUAAAAAAAGUAGGGCCUCAGCUCCAUGCAUCACAGGACA